CCCUUUGUAGCUCAGCUGGAAGAGCGUGGGACUGUAAUCGAUAUACAACAGAUUAUUCUGUCAUCCCAAGGCCAUCGGUUCGAUCCCGAUCGAAGGGA